rnacentral:rRNA from 1 species
GCUCAGAACGAACGCUGGCGGCGUGCCUAACACAUGCAAGUCGAGCGAGAAAGCCCGCAAGGGUGAGUAAAGCGGCGCACGGGUGCGUAACACGUGGGUAAUCUGCCCUGAAGUCCGGAAUAACUCGCCGAAAGGCGUGCUAAUGCCGGAUAAGACCACGGGAGCUUCGGCUCCUGCGGGAAAAGGUGGCCUCUGUACACAAGCUAUCACUUCAGGAUGAGCCCGCGGCCCAUCAGCUCGUUGGCGGGGUAAUGGCCCACCAAGGCUACGACGGGUAGCUGGUCUGAGAGGACGAUCAGCCACACUGGAACUGAGACACGGUCCAGACUCCUACGGGAGGCAGCAGUGGGGAAUCUUGCGCAAUGGGCGAAAGCCUGACGCAGCAACGCCGCGUGUGUGAUGAAGGUCUUCGGAUCGUAAAGCACUGUCGCGAGGGACGAAUAAGGGGCGGGCUAACAUCCCGUUCCGAUGACGGUACCUCGAGAGGAAGCACCGGCUAACUCUGUGCCAGCAGCCGCGGUAAUACAGAGGGUGCAAGCGUUGUUCGGAAUUAUUGGGCGUAAAGCGCGUGUAGGCGGCUUUGUAAGUUGGGUGUGAAAGCCCUCGGCUUAACCGAGGAAGUGCGCCCAAAACUGCAUGGCUUGAGUACCGGAGAGGGUGGCGGAAUUCCCGGUGUAGAGGUGAAAUUCGUAGAUAUCGGGAGGAACACCAGCGGCGAAGGCGGCCACCUGGACGGAUACUGACGCUGAGACGCGAAAGCGUGGGGAGCAAACAGGAUUAGAUACCCUGGUAGUCCACGCUGUAAACGAUGAGCGCUAGGUGUUGUGGGUGUUGACCCCUGCAGUGCCGCAGCUAACGCAUUAAGCGCUCCGCCUGGGAAGUACGGCCGCAGGGCUAAACUCAAAG